GGCGACCGGCGCACGGGUGAGUAACACGUAUGGAACCUGCCCUUUACUGGGAGAUAACCCGGAGAAAUCCGGACUAAUAUCCCAUAACAAGCGGGGUGGCAUCACCUUGCUUUGAAAGCUCCGGCGGUAAAGGAUGGCCAUGCGCCCGAUUAGCUGGUUGGUGGGGUAACGGCCCACCAAGGCGACGAUCGGUAGGGGGCCUGAGAGGGUUAUCCCCCACACUGGUACUGAGACACGGACCAGACUCCUACGGGAGGCAGCAGUGAGGAAUAUUGCGCAAUGGAGGCAACUCUGACGCAGCCAUGCCGCGUGCAGGAAGAAGGCGCUACGCGUUGUAAACUGCUUUUAUCCGGGAAGAAACCCCUCCACGCGUGGAGGGUUGACGGUACCGGAGGAAUAAGCACCGG
rnacentral:rRNA from 1 species